CAACAACUUCAAGCUUUAAAAACAAGACACAAAAAAGUAUCACAUAAUGGCCCCAUGAAGCGACGGUAUAUUCUGAAGUAUUUGAGAUCAUUCACAACAUUACUAAUGUUUAAUAUGAAGGAAAUUUUUUUGAAAAAGAAUAAAAAUAAAUAAUUAAAAAAAAAACAUUAAAGAACAUGCCCAUUAAGUCAUUAAAAGGUUUCAAACAUUUGGUUAUGUUAAAAGUUAAUGGAACAAUUAAUUGUAUCAAUUUGCAAACAAGAAUGUUACGUUUAAAUAUUCUCUGAACAUUCUGACAGGAAACAUUUACAAAUUGUUACAUGUGACCUGUGCAUGUCUGAUUUUCUGAUAUUAUUAUUUUUCACUAUUGUCUGUUUCAGUAAUUUCUAGUUUAUUAUAUAACUAUCUAUUCCUUGAUUUUUUUAAUGUACACUUUUCCUUUAUGUUUAGACAAUUGCAUUCACUACAGUAUUGAACUAUAAGAGAUGCAGAACAAAACAUGUAUAGUCUGUGGUUUUCUUAUCUGUGUAAUCAAACAAUUCGUAUUGUGUUUGCUUUUGUUAUUCAUUUGUUUGAUAUAACUGAAUUACUUUAAUUGUGUUACUUUUUAUUUUGCUUAUUUUAAGUUUAGCGAUUUUAUCCACCUGUAUUCAUCUAAAUAAAGUGAAAUCAUAUUAA